rnacentral:rRNA from 1 species
GACGAACGCUGGCGGCGUGCUUAACACUUGCAAGUCGAACGAUGAUCUCCCGCUUGCGGGGGUGUUUAGGGGCGAACGGGUGAGUAAUACGUGAGUAACCUGCCCUUGACUCUUUGAUAAGCCUGGGAAACCGGGUCUAAUACUGGAUACUACUUCCUGCCGCAGGGUGGGGGGUGGAGAGGGUUUUACUUUGUUUGGAUGGGCUCGCGGCCGAUCAACUUGUUGGUGGGGUAAUGGCCCACCAAGGCGGCGAUCGGUAGCCGGCCUGAGAGGGUGAUCGGCCACACUGGAACUGAGACACGGUCCAGACUCCUACGGGAGGCAGCAGUGGGGAAUAUUGGACAAUGGGCGCAAGCCUGAUCCAGCCAUACCGCGUGGGUGAAGAAGGCCUUCGGGUUGUAAAGCCCUGUUGUGGGGAAAGAAAAGCAGCAGGUUAAUACCCCGCUGUUCUGACGGUACCCAAAGAAGAAGCACCGGCUAACUUCGUG